CACACCGGUUCUCUUUCGAUCACCAAAGUUAAGCAAUGUCGAAACCAGUCAGUACUUAGAUAGGUGACCACUUAGGAAAGCCGGGUACUGUG